ensembl:lncRNA
CAAAGAGAUAAAGAAAGAAAAUUUGCACCUGAGUUUCAGAAUAAUUAUAUUUCUGCAAGCUUUAUGAUUAGCUUUUUCUUGGUACUGCAAAAAAAAAAAAAAAAAGAGAGAGAAAAAUAAGAAAAGAAAAGAAAAGAAAAGAAAAGAAAAGAAAAGAAAAGAAAAGAAAAGAAGAGAAGAGAAGAGAAGAGAAGAGAAGAGAAGAGAAGAGAAGAGAAGAGAAGAGAAGAGAAGAGAAGAGAAGAGAAGAGAAGAGAAGAGAAGAGAAGAUAAAAGGAAUACAUUAGAAAAGACACAAGAUUCUGUGAAAAACAGGAUGCAGAUGGGCAUCCCUGCUUCCUCUUAUCUGCUGGCAAGGCCCGGAAGAUGAUAACAAAGGAAUUUCUGCUGAGAUCCCAGAGGCAGUAGCUGCCACUCCAAGGAGAGCUGACUCAACCACUUUGGAUUCGAGCUGUCACUCAAAAGAAAGCUGACUCGACCACUUUGGACUUAUAAAUAAGUUUGUACUGCCAUCGUUGUCGUCAUCGCUGUGGUCACCAUUGUCAACAGAACACCAG